UACGGGGGGGGCAAGCGUUGUUCGGAAUUACUGGGCGUAAAGGGCUCGUAGGCGGCCAACUAAGUCAGACGUGAAAUCCCUAGGCUCAACCUAGGAACUGCGUCUGAUACUGGAUGGCUUGAAUCCGGGAGAGGGAUGCAGAAUUCCAGGUGUAGCGGUGAAAUGCGUAGAUAUCUGGAGGAAUACCGGUGGCGAAGGCGGCAUCCUGGACCGACAUUGACGCUGAGGAGCGAAAGCCAGGGGAGCAAACGGG
rnacentral:rRNA from 1 species